rnacentral:tRNA from 1 species
GGGAGAAUGGCAGACUGGCUAUGCAGCUGACUGUAGAUCAGUAUCAGGGGGGUUCGAUUCCCUCUUCUCCCA